UACGGAGGGUGCAAGCGUUAUCCGGAAUCAUUGGGUUUAAAGGGUCCGCAGGCGGUCAAUUAAGUCAGAGGUGAAAUCCCACAGCUUAACUGUGGAACUGCCAUUGAUACUGUUGGUCUUGAGUUGAUAUGAAGUGGCUGGAAUGUGUAGUGUAGCGGUGAAAUGCAUAGAUAUUACACAGAACACCGAUAGCGUAGGCAGGUCACUAAUAUUACACUGACGCUGAGGGACGAAAGCGUGGGGAGCGAACAGG
rnacentral:rRNA from 1 species